rnacentral:misc_RNA from 1 species
ACAAAUUCAACAUAAUAUUAUAUUGUAGUCCCAAAUUGAUUAAAAUACUCUUAACAUGUGUGAAAUCUAGAAUUUAGUAAAAUUAUACAAGCAUAACAGAUAUUAAUAAAUUGCCUGUGAAGGAGAGAGGUAGGUUAGAACUCAACAACAAAUCUCCCUUAUUCUGAAAAAAUAAGGUAAAUAGGACUCAGAGAGUAAAAUACAGAUUUUAAUCAUAAUUUCUAUAGCUA